rnacentral:rRNA from 1 species
CAAUAGCGUAUAUUAAAGUUGUUGCGGUUAAAAAGCUCGUAGUUCGAGCUAGAUUGGAUAGUUCUUUUGCCUAUGGCUUUGGAACAGUCCUUUCUAGUCAGGAUAGCAUUUAUUUGCUUUUCUGAACAUUACUUUGAGCAAAUCAGAGUGCUCUUAGCAGUCUUUAUGACAUUGCAUGUGUAAGCAUGGAAUAAUCACACUAGACUUCAGUCUACGUGAUGGUAAACACUGUAGUAAUGAUUAACAGGAACAAUCGGGGUCAUCCGUAUUUAGUGGGGAGGGGGUGAAAUCCGCAGAUCCACUAAAGACGAACUAAAGCGAAAGCAUUUGACAAGGAUGUUUUCAUUGAUCAAGAACGAAAGUUAGGGUAUCGAAGAUGAUCAGAUACCA